rnacentral:rRNA from 1 species
CAGCAGCCACGGUAAUACGGAGGGUGCAAGCGUUAUCCGGAUUCACUGGGCGUAAAGCGUGCGUAGGCGGCUUCUUAAGUCGGAUGUGAAAUCCCUGAGCUUAACUUAGGAAUUGCAUUCGAUACUGGGAAGCUAGAGUAUGGGAGAGGAUGGUAGAAUUCCAGGUGUAGCGGUGAAAUGCGUAGAGAUCUGGAGGAAUACCGAUGGCGAAGGCAGCCAUCUGGCCUAAUACUGACGCUGAGGUACGAAAGCAUGGGGAGCAAACAGGAUUAGAUACCCCAGUAGUCCCUGUCUCUUAUAC